AUUAGUUGCUAGGGGAGCAUUAUGCUGAGAAUUGGCUGCGACCAUUACCCUCAAAACCUGAUUCAGUUAACGCUGACGUAGGAAAGCAUUUUAUAGGAAAU
rnacentral:ncRNA from 2 species